AUGUGUGUGAUUAGUAUGUGUGACACUGUAAUUAGUGGCUUGAUUAGUCAGGGAUUAGGGAGACACUGUUGGGUGGAAGGCACAUGGGGUGAGAGGGAGGGUGGGAUCCAGUGGUGUGGUGUGGCAGCAGCUGUGCAUGGACUGACUCAUCAGACUGACCGAUCAAGAGAGAAAGAGAGAAAAAUAUUGCCACCGCAAAAGGUGACAGAUUGGAUCCACCACCCUAAUCUGAUCAUGCUCAUGGCCCCAGAUGAAUUUGAUUUAAGCUCAUUGUUUUCUUGCCAAAUUCACACCAUCAUUGAUCUGGGGUAUCCUAUGCCUAUGUGA
rnacentral:rRNA from 1 species